CCCCUGGUAGUCCAGUGGUUAGGAUUCUGCACUUCCACUGCAAGGGGGCAUGGGUUCAAUCCCUGGUCAGGGAA
rnacentral:tRNA from 1 species